UUUUUUUAAUCGGCUUCCUUUUUUGUUUCCGAUUGCAAGUGUUAUUUCUACGGAAUUAGGCCGGGACUACUUCUCCCGAAGAGUGCCCUCUAAACGAGUGACAACUCCGUUUUGUCUUUUCAAGCAAAACUUUUUUCAACGUUAUAUAUUGGUGUGGAAGGGCAUUUUUCUUAGAGAGGCCAGAAUAUUGCUCGAUAUGAGUCGGGCGGAACUAUUUUCUUACGGAUAUUGAUAUGUAAAUGGGACAAACUGAUACAAGACCGGGAACGGUAGCUCGAUAACAUUAACAAUGGGUGCCAUCUGUCUCAAGUCAUCCGUAAGAAAAGCGUGUCUUUUCAUCGGACAGGCUACAGCACGAACAAAAAUAGUUUUGGUGUGGACGGACAUCCCCGCUCCGUCCCUCAUGUUUAAACCGACUGCGUCAGUGUCAUUCUGUAGGUAUUUAUUUUAAAUAAUGUUUCCAAGCCCUCUGACCUGGUAACCGUAACAGUUUUGGUCAGGUCCAUUUUUCCCCUUCUCUUUCCCCCGAUCUCGGAAUCUUCGCGGACGCAGUAUCAUGUCUGGAGAGGAGCAGCGCCAGCCAUUUGCCAGCGACGAGGAGACGAUCUCGGAAUCUUCGCGGACGCAUUAUCAUGUCUGGAGAGGAACAGCCCCAGCCGUUUGCCAGCGACGAGGAGAUGAACUCGGAGUCUUCGCGGGCACCAGACGGAGCCAGGCAUAUCUUGCCCAUAAUCAUAGAGGAGCCAGAGCCUAUUUCUAGUGACGAGGAGAUGAGUUUCCUCGACGUG
rnacentral:misc_RNA from 1 species